rnacentral:pre_miRNA from 1 species
ACCGCCAUCUUACUGGGCAGCAUUGGAUGGUGUCUGGUCUCUAAUACUGCCUGGUAAUGAUGACGGC